rnacentral:rRNA from 1 species
AUUGAACGCUGGCGGCAGGCCUAACACAUGCCAGUCGAGCGAGCGGCGGACGGGUGAGUAAUGUCUGGGAAACUGCCUGAUGGAGGGGGAUAACUACUGGAAACGGUAGCUAAUACCGCAUACCAUCAGAUGUGCCCAGAUGGGAUUGGCUAGGAGGUGGGGUAACGGCUCACCUAGGCGACGAUCCCUAGCUGGUCUGCGAGGAUGACCAGCCACACUGGAACUGAGACACGGUCCAGACUCCGACGGUAGGCAGCAGUGGGGAAUAUUGCAAAAUGGGCGCAAGCCUGAUGCAGCCAUGCGGCGUGUGUGAAGAAGGCCUUGGGGUUGUAAAGCACUUUCAGCGGGGAGGCGUUACCCGCAGAAGAAGCACCGGCUAACUCCGUGCCAGCAGCCGCGGUAAUAC